GAUGAACGCUGGCGGCGUGCCUAAUACAUGCAAGUCGAGCGAACAGACGAGGAGCUUGCUCCUCUGACGUUAGCGGCGGACGGGUGAGUAACACGUGGAUAACCUACCUAUAAGACUGGGAUAACUUCGGGAAACCGGAGCUAAUACCGGAUAAUAUAUUGAACCGCAUGGUUAAAUAGGGAAAGACGGUUUUGCUGUCACUUAUAGAUGGAUCCGCGCCGCAUUAGCUAGUUGGUAAGGUAACGGCUUACCAAGGCAACGAUGCGUAGCCGACCUGAGAGGGUGAUCGGCCACACUGGAACUGAGACACGGUCCAGACUCCUACGGGAGGCAGCAGUAGGGAAUCUUCCGCAAUGGGCGAAAGCCUGACGGAGCAACGCCGCGUGAGUGAUGAAGGUCUUCGGAUCGUAAAACUCUGUUAUUAGGGAAGAACAAAUGUGUAAGUAACUAUGCACGUCUUGACGGUACCUAAUCAGAAAGCCACGGCUAACUACGUG
rnacentral:rRNA from 1 species